UCCCAGUGCCUGCCACUGAAAAACAUUCCACAGCAUGAUGCUGCCACCAUCUUGCUUCACUGUAGAGAUGGCGCCAGGCUUCCUCCAGUUGUGACGUUUGGAAUUUAGGCUUCUGUCUGACCACUCUACCAUUAAAGCCUGAUUGAUGGAGUGCUGCAGAGAUGGUUGUCCUUCUGGAAAGUUCUCCCAUCUCCACAGAGGAAAGCUGGAGCUCUGUCAGAGUGACCAUUGGGUACUUGGUCACCUCCCUGCCCAAGGCCCUUCCCUUUGAUUGCUCAGUUUGGCCGGGCGGCCAGCUCUAGGAAGAGUCUUGGUGGUUCCAAACUUCUUCAAUUUAAGAAUGAUGGAGGCCACUGUGUUCUUGGGGACCUUCAAUGCUGCAGACAUUUUUUGGUACCCUUCCCCAGAUCUGUGCCUCGACACAAUCCUGUCUCGGAGCUCUACGGACAAAUCCUUUGACUUCAUGGCUUGGUAUAAUCUCUGACAUGCACUGUCAACUGUGGGACCUUAUAUAGACAGGUGUGUGCAUUUCCACAUCAUGUCCAAUCAAUUGAAUUUACCACAGGUGGACUCCAAUCAAGUUGUAGAAACAUCUCAUGGAUGAUCAAUUGGAACAGGAUGCACCGGAGCUCAAUUUUGAGUCUCAUAACAAAGGGUUGACUGACCAGUUCCUCCACCCAUGCAUUGUACCCUGGCGGGCUGAUGGCCAUCUCAAUGACAGUAGCCAUAAUGAGAACGAUGAGACAACAAGGGGAGACGUACUUCACAUGUAGAAAUAGAAGGCGUGGGGCCGGAAACCCAACAUGUCCUCCAGGUCCUGCAUAAACCUUACACACACAUACAUUUGGGUUUAAAAUAGGUCCAGACAAAUCCUUCAGUUUACAGUAUUCACAUGUUCCUUGACUCUUUCUCUUCACCCUCUUAUCAAACUUUCCUCUUAAAUCAUAUGAAAACACACAUUGCAAUAUCAGUGAUGAUCAGUGUUUCUCUCACACUAUGCGGCUCUCUGGGGAGACGCCAUCCUGUACCUCUUGGUGCCGUAGAUCCAGGCCACUGACACAUUCUCUAGGAUGACCACGACAGUGAGUAGCAGACCAGCGGAAUAGUCAUCAAACAUGAUGACAAAGUAGUUCCCAGAGCGCUGGACGAAGAGCAGGCCACAGAUAAAGGCUAUGAUACAGCAGCACACUGAAAAUAGAUAAACAGAUAAAACUACACUUUAUGGAACAACGCAGACUAUGAAAAGACACACACACACAGAUGCAUACACACACACGUACAUUGUAAUGUUGUAAUAUUGUUGUAUUGUGGUAUUAUACACAGUGGUAUAAAGUACUUACUGUAAGUAAAAAUACAUUAAAGUACUACUUAAGUCGU